GCGCGAGUGGCGGAAUUGGUAGACGCACUGGAUUUAGGUUCCAGCGCCGCAAGGUGUAAGAGUUCGAGUCUCUUCUCGCGCACCA
rnacentral:tRNA from 8 species